rfam:Asian citrus Psyllid, Diaphorina citri - Florida Strain, whole genome shotgun sequence.
GCUAACGGCGAUAGCUUGUUACACGAGUUCCCCAUGGAUCACUGAAGCAACGUUGCGCGUGGUUGGUAUCCGAUUGGGUGACCAUCCGGGCAAUCGCGUGCUGCUAGUU